AUUGAACGCUGGCGGCAGGCCUAACACAUGCAAGUCGAACGCGUCGCGCACGGGUGAGUAAUGUCUGGGAAACUGCCUGAUGGAGGGGUAUCUCUACUGGAACCGGUCGCUAAUACCGCAUACCCUCGGAUGUGCCCAUAUGGUUUUAGCUAGUAGGUGGGGUAAAGGAUCACCUAGGCGACGAUCCCUCGCUGGUCUGAGAGAAUGACCAGCCACACUGGGACUGGGACACGGUCCAGACUCCUACGGGAGGCAGCAGUGGGGAAUAUGGCACAAUGGGCGAAAGCCUGAUACAGCCAUGCCGCGUGUAUGAAGAAGGCCGUCGGGUUGUAAAGUACUUUCAGCGGGGAGGCGUUACCAACAGAAGAAGCACCGGCUAACUCCGUGCCAGCAGCCGCGGUAAUAC
rnacentral:rRNA from 1 species